rnacentral:snRNA from 14 species
AUGUAUAAAUGGAGAUAAGAAAGAGAAUAGAAACACAGGCCCAUGGCCUAGGUUGGCAACCUCCAUUGCACCUAGGGAGGGGUGCCUGCCUAACAUCUCCCCAAGUGGGAAAGUGUACGUCAUAAUUUGUGGUAGUGGGGGUACGCGUUCGCGCGACCCCUGC